ACGAACGCUGGCGGCAGGCCUAACACAUGCAAGUCGAACGCCCUCUUUCGGGAGGGAGUGGCGCACGGGUGAGUAACGCGUGGGAAUCUGCCCUUUGGUCUGGAAUAACCCUGGGAAACUAGGGCUAACACCGGAUAAGCCCCAUGAUCCGCAAGGGUUGAGGGGGAAAGUUUACGCCGAAGGAGGAGCCCGCGUCCGAUUAGCUAGUUGGUGAGGUAAGAGCUCACCAAGGCUUCGAUCGGUAGCUGGUCUGAGAGGACGAUCAGCCACACUGGGACUGAGACACGGCCCAGACUCCUACGGGAGGCAGCAGUGGGGAAUAUUGGACAAUGGGCGCAAGCCUGAUCCAGCCAUGCCGCGUGAGUGAUGAAGGCCUUCGGGUUGUAAAGCUCUUUUGGCGGGGACGAUGAUGACGGUACCCGCAGAAUAAGCCCCGGCAAACUUCGU
rnacentral:rRNA from 1 species